rnacentral:rRNA from 1 species
AGUCAGGAGAGUUUGAUCCUGGCUCAGGACGAACGCUGGCGGCGUGCCUAAUCGGGGCAAGUCGAGCGGACAGAUGGGAGCUUGCUCCCUGAUGUUAGCGGCGGACGGGUGUAACACGUGGGUAACCUGCCUGUAAGCUGACUGGGAUAACUCCGGGAAACCGGGGCUAAUACCGGAUGGUUGUUUGAACCGCAUGGUUCAAACAUAAAAGGUGGCUUCGGCUACCACUUACAGAUGGACCCGCGGCGCAUUAGCUAGUUGGUGCCGGUAACGGCUCACCAAGGCAACGAUGCGUAGCUCGACCUGAGAGGGUGAUCGGCCACACUGGGACUGAGACACGGCCCAGACUCCUACGGGAGGCAGCAGUAGGGAAUCUUCCGCAAUGGACGAAAGUCUGACGGAGCAACGCCGCGUGAGUGAUGAAGUCUUUCGGAUCGUAAAGCUCUGUUGUUAGGGAAGAAAGUACCGUUCGAAUAGGGCGGUACCUUGACGGUACCUAACCAGAAAGCCACGGCUAACUACGUGCCAGCAGCCGCGGUAAUACGUAGGUGGCAAGCGUUGUCCGGAAUUAUUGGGCGUAAAGGGCUCGCAGGCGGUUUCUUAAGUCUGAUGUGAAAGCCCCCGGCUCAACCGGGGAGGGUCAUUGGAAACUGGGGAACUCGGAGUGCAGAAGAGGAGAGUGGAAUUCCACGUGUAGCGGUGAAAUGCGUAGAGAUGUGGAGGAACACCAGUGGCGAAGGCGACUCUCUGGUCUGUAACUGACGCUGAGGAGCGAAAGCUCGAUUGGGGAGCGAACAGGAUUAGAUACCCUGGUAGUCCACGCCGUAAACGAUGAGUGCUAAGUGUUAGGGGGUUUCCGCCCCUUAGUGCUGCAGCUAACGCAUUAAGCACUCCGCCUGGGGAGUACGGUCGCAACUGAAACUCAAAGGAAUUGACGGGGGCCUGGAGCAUGUGGUUUAAUUCGAAGCAACGCGAAGAACCUUACCAGGUCUUGACAUCCUCUGACAAUCCUAGAGAUAGGACGUCCCCUUCGGGGGCAGAGUGACAGGUGGUGCAUGGUUGUCGUCAGCUCGUGUCGUGAGAUGUUGGGUUAAGUCCCGCAACGAGCGCAACCCUGGAUCUUAGUUGCCAGCAUUCUUGGGCACUCUAAGGUGACUGCCGGUGAAUGCGGAGGAAGGUGGGGAUGACG